rnacentral:rRNA from 1 species
GAUGAACGCUGGCGGCGUGCCUAACACAUGCAAGUCGAGCGAUUCUCUUCGGAGAAGAGCGGCGGACGGGUGAGUAACGCGUAGGUAACCUGCCCUGUACACACGGAUAACAUACCGAAAGGUAUGCUAAUACGGGAUAAUAUGCUUUAGUCGCAUGGCUGAAGUAUCAAAGCUCCGGCGGUACAGGAUGGACCCGCAUCUGAUUAGCUAGUUGGUAAGGUAAUGGCUUACCAAGGCGACGAUCAGUAGCCGACCUGAGAGGGUGAUCGGCCACAUUGGAACUGAGACACGGUCCAAACUCCUACGGGAGGCAGCAGUGGGGAAUAUUGCACAAUGGGCGAAAGCCUGAUGCAGCAACGCCGCGUGAGCGAUGAAGGCCUUCGGGUCGUAAAGCUCUGUCCUCAAGGAAGAUAAUGACGGUACUUGAGGAGGAAGCCCCGGCUAACUACGUGCCAGCCGCCGCGGUAA